CCUACGGGCGGCUGCAGUGAGGAAUAUUGGUCAAUGGACGAGAGUCUGAACCAGCCAAGUAGCGUGAAGGAUGACUGCCCUAUGGGUUGUAAACUUCUUUUAUAUGGGAAUAAAAUGUUCCACGUGUGGGAUUGUGUAUGUACCAUAUGAAUACGGAUCGGCUAACUCCGUGCCAGCAGCCGCGUUAAGACGGAGGAUCCGAGCGUUAUCCGGAUUUAUUGGGUUUAAAGGGAACGUAGGUGGAUUGUUAAGUCAGCGGUAACAUUGCGGGGCUCAACCCCGUCGAGCCGUUGAAACUGGCAGACUUGAGUUGGCGAGAAGUACGCGGAAUGCGCGGUGUAGCGGUGAAAUGCAUAGAUAUCGCGCAGAACUCCGAUUGCGAAGGCAGCGUACCGGCGCCAGACUGACGCUGAGGCACGAAAGCGUGGGGAUCGAACAGGAUUAGAUACCCUUGUAGUC
rnacentral:rRNA from 1 species